rfam:Ornithorhynchus anatinus chromosome 5, whole genome shotgun sequence.
AACGCUUUUGUAGAAAAAUGAUCCUGGCAGUAGAGUGAAGUAUGGCCUAGAGUACAGAGAAACAGGAGGCAAAGAGUUCAGCAAAGAGGCUAAUAGAGUAAUUAAGGAUAAGUACUUAGAUUAAUAUGGUAGCAGGUUACUUGGAAAAAAUUAGUGUUCCAAGCUGGCUCAGUCACCUGGAUACUCCAGCUAGGAAUAAUGGAAUAGAACCCCGGUAAUCAUUUUGGUUUUCGAAAGUGGGACCAUGAUUAAGAAGGACGCCGGAGACAUUGGUAUUGGGCCUCUAGAGGUGAAAUUCUUGGACUGGCUCAAGAUGGACCAGGGCAAAAGCAUUUGCCAAGAAUGUUUUCAUUAAUAAAGAACUAAAGUCGGAGGUUCGAAGAUGAUCAGAUAUCACCGUAGUUCUGGUCAUAAACAAUGCCGACUUGCAAUCUGGCGGCAUUAUUCACAUGAACCACAGGGCAGCCUUCUAGGAAAACAAAGUCUUUGGGUUCCA